AAAACGUGAAACAACAGAGUUCAGACUUCUUAUUGAUUUAUUUUCAUUCUGCGCAAAUAAUAACAGAGUGGAAUUAAUAAAUAUUAUUAUAUCAUUUAAAACAAAUUGAACUAUUUAUACUGCAGUAAAUAUGGAAUAAUAGUGCCGUGGGGUAAAUAGAAGUGAGUGAAUAUCAUUUAUUUUAAAUGUUAAUAUUGGGAACACCUAUUGUUCCAGUGUGAGACAAGAUGUUUCUAAAUUUUUUUGUUAUCUUACAAAAGCGAUGGCAAUGAAUCUUCAUGGUUUAAACUGAACUAAAUAUAUAAAGCUUCUUAGGAAAAAAUGGGUGGACAAGUGAGUCAGGUGUUCCAAUCUGGUAGUGCUUUACUGACAAAUGGACAUGGUCACAAAGUUUCUGAUUCCACUAGACAAAAGGUGCAGACGAUAUUUGAUGCCCUCAGAGCUAAUCCCAAGAUUGGAGUGCAGAGGCUAGAGGGAUUGUUACAGCAAUUACCAAGGAAUGAAAAUAUAUUAGCAAUUCACGAUGAGACUGGUUACAACUUGCUUCAAAAAUGUGUAGGAGCAAAUAAUGUUGAGUUAGUUCGCUGGCUCUUAGCCAGACACAGUGCUGCUGAUGUCAAUAGGUUUCCUUGCAGCUUGCCUCUUCAUAUAGCCUGCUUAAAGGGACAUGAUGAAUGUGUAGAACUAUUGUUAAAGCAUGGUGCCAAAUCAGAUGUGGAGGUUAGAAUGUGUUGGCCAGGUCCUCACAGCAGUAAUUGUGAAGAACGGGGAAAAUAUUCAACUGCAGUCCAACAUGAAGAGACCUGCAUAGAAAGAGAUACUCGGGAGCGGGCGCCCAAUAAUAAACUACAGUCAGCUUUAUAUUAUGCAUUGGAUGGCGAUCAAGUUAACAUAUUGACGAUGUUGUCGCAGAGAGGAGAGGACCCAUGGAAUGGUAUAUUCCGUGCAAGAAAACCCUUACUACAUUCUGCCUGCGAGAGAGGCGCAUGGAAAUGUACAGAGUACUUGAUACGAGAACGUUCAGAUGAGAUACACCUCCUUAAAGAUGAAUAUUACCCCAUCCACUACGCGGUUUUGCAUGACAGCAAAUUUCUGGAACUCUUAAUAGAUCACGGAGCAGACACCACUGUUCGUACUUGCACUCAGCAGAUGACGUUAUUGCAUGUAGUACUGCUCGUGGCGCAUAAGUCAGCUGAAGAUACUAUAGCAACAAUUAGGUUACUACUAGAUCAUGGCUGCAAAGAAUUAAUUAACACACCAGAUAGUCUGGGAAAUACUCCACUACAUGCUCUUAUUGUAAGAUACGCUCUAGAAGAAGCCCAAUAUGGUUAUGACAAAUGGAACAAAUGGAAUAAAUGGGAUAUCCUUCACCUGGUCAGAUACUUAAUACAAAACGGCGCUAGACAAUCGAUAAACCACGCCGGAAAUUCUGCAGUGGCUUGCGUGUUAAGACAUGUUCGCGAUUGGGAUGUUUGUUAUGAAUUGCUCAAUAUGUUACUCAAUGAAGAUGGUGAUCCCAAUAUGGUUGGCCGAGAUGGAUCGGUACCUCUGAUGGUCUGUUUGGUACCUCUUAUAAAUAAAGAUCCUCUACACCAUUUUACCCAUAGUAUGAAGGUUUGUUAUUUAAAUUGCAUUAAAAUUCUUCUAAAACACGGGGCCAAUUCCAAUUGUAGCUACAGGGCUAAUCUGACUCCUCUACAUGUAUUAGUAUUUACUGUGUCAGAAAAUAUAACAUUAAAUUGUAACGUCCAGAAAAGAUUAAACUUUGAAUUCAUUAAAAAUUUGUUGAUACUAUUGUUAAACCACGAUCUAAAUCCCAAUGCGAGAGUUACUAGAAAAACAGAACACAUUUUCCAGAAAUGUAUGGACAUGGUACUGAAUGUUCGAGACUGUAUGGAUCUUCACUACGUGUAUGAUCUUACACUUACUCUCAUUCAAUUUGGAGCCAAUCCUGAUUUGAGCCUCAAUAUGUCGGAAGCUAUCAGGAGGCAUCCCUUACAUUCGCAGAGUAUAUGGAAUACGAAAAACUAUAUUUUGUAUUAUUACAUAACGUUAAUAUCUAGAAAAGAGAAUCUCAUCACUGAUCCCCAUCUUAGUUUUGCUAAAAUUAUUUUGUUGUUUUAUUGCGUUAUGCAACACAAGCCUCUGUUUGAGUGCCUAAAGAUCUUAUACACUCAGCAAUUGAGUUUAGUUCCCGGAAAAACGACUGAACCGCUAACUGCCAUCAUCAGAGACCUUUACAAACGACCACGAACUCUCAAACAGAUUUGUCGAGUCAAAAUCCAUAAUUGCUUAGGACGCCGGCCAGGACUUUUCAUCAACAAACUAGAUUUGCCCAAUCAGCUGAAAGAUUAUUUGUUGAAUUUUCAAAUGUAAAUGUUAAGAAGGUAGAGAGACGGAGAGAGAAUGAGGACGUGAACUCCAUAGCAGAUAACUCAAAAGGAGAUGCGAGGUUGCCACCACCUUCUGACCGCGUCAAAUAGAAUUUGGCGUUUUCGAUGUACACUGAUUACGAUGUGAGUUACAGGAUGCUAAUGAAAACACGAAAAUGACGCGAAAUAUCAAACAUUCCAAUUUCGGGUAAUUACGAUUCGACAUGGUCAUUUCUAUUCGAUUUGUUAAAAGUUACAGAAUAGGGCUAAAUACAACUGUGGAGAAAUAUUAUUAAAUACAGUAGUGUUAUGGAGUAGAAUCUUACAUUUAAGUAAACAACCGAGGCAAGUUGUAUUGCAUUUAGUUUGUCGAUAUUCAGUUUAAGCAAGGCCGCUUUUAAUGUAUUUAAAUAAUUAAUUAAUCUCGAAAUGAAUCUCAAAUGUUUUAAAAUCUUUUUACUUGAUCUGAGGAAUACCUUACCAGUGAAUGUAGAUAGGUACCUUCUUGUGUUUUUCUAGAGAUUAAUAAUUUAGAAAAUAAAUAAAUAUACAUAAAUAUCUUUUGCAUGUUGUGGUGGCAGAUUUGCAGAAUAUAAGUCCUUGCUUGCUUGUUUAUAAGUUGGGCUAACUGGGGCGAUAGUGAAGGUACGAAUUAGUAUUUCAAUAAUGUUAGCAUUACGAUGGUGUAAGUACCACAAGUCGUAGCCACGAAAGAUAGAAUUUUAUAGAAAAAAUAAAAACAUUGUAAUAGAGUAAAUAAUUUUUGUUGAUGAUUUUGAUGAAAUCCUUUCCUUCGAAACCCUUGGUAUACUACAACUCUCAGAUAAUCCAUUGUACACUAUGCGUCAGAGAAAACGGGCACCCCACAAAAUGGGUCAUUUUUGAUGUCUCGAAUUUCCUAAACCUGUUGUCCGAUUUAAGUGACUUUUAUAAUAUGUUAUAGCCUUAUUCUUUAACAAUAUCGCUGUAAUAAUAUUGUUGCUAGACAGGUAAAUUGCCAUUGUAUACCGGGUGUACCAAUUAAUCUGUGUUUUUUCUUAAAGUUCACCACACCCUGUGGAAUAUUCUAGCAUUUAUAAAAUACUGAAAUGAAAACCCAACUAUAGCCUUAGGUUUUCUUAACAUUCUGUUUUUUGAUUCAUUUGCUUAUGUUGGAUAAUAAAAAAGUUACAUACUUUAACAACUAGCCAUGUUCUUCAUCAAUACAGGGAGUUUCUAACUCAGUGCGAAAAACUUGAAGGUGUAAUUCUGCAUGAAAAAAUAAUGACCGUUUGCUUUAUAAACAUGUCCGCAAGUGCUUCGUUUCUGAGAUACGAGAUGUUGAUUUUUUUCUUACAAACUGACGAUUUAUUUAUUGCUCUAAAACCGGUUGAGAUAUGCAAAUGAAAUUUGGUAGGUUUUAAGAGAUAGUUAUUGCACAUUUUUUGGCAUGCAAUAAAGAAUUUUAUAUUCUCCAUUGGCGCGCAUACGGGUCAUAUUACCGGCAGCUCUAGAAUCAAUAUUUAAGAACACGUGUUAUGGGCAUCGAUAUAGAUGAAACAAAUUUAAAUCAUCUGAGCUUUGCAGAUGACAGACAUUGUAUUAAUUGCAGGCAACUUACAAGACACCGUUUCUAUGAUACAUUCGCUUAAAACUCUGUCUGAAAGAGCAGGAUUAAAAAUAAACUUGUGAGAAAACUAAACUUAUGACAAAUCUCGUAAUGAGUGGAAAUAAAACUAGUAACAAUAAUUCCAUACCACAAACAGACACAAAUAUCUGGGAUACGAGAUCAAAAUAAGCAGAAACAGUCAAACACAUGAAAUACAAAGGCGAAUAGGUCUGACAUGGGCAGAAUUUGACAUACUAAACCAUAUUCUAAAAAGUUCAAUUCCCAUGUGUCUAAAGCGAAAGUUCUAUAACCAGCGUGUCUUUCACGUACAAACAUAUUUAACAGACACUACAAAAAGACCGUUCAAGAGCAAAGCUCGUUCAAUACGUCAUCGAAACAAUCACGACGCUUAAGUGGAACUAGGCAGGGCAUUUAGCUAGAACACAAGACGGACGGUGGAUAAGACUAUUCAUGGAAUGGAGGCCCAGAAACUAUAAAAGAAGCCGAGGACGACUACCGACCAGUGGCGGAUCCGGGGGAGGGCGAUGGGGCGAUCGGCCCCCCCUCUCAAAAUGAUGCUUGAUCCGCCAGUGCUACCGACUAUACUAGAGUAGCGGGAAACUGGCUAUAAGCGGCCCAGUGUAGAACGGAAAGAACUGAGGGAGGUCUACGUCCAGCAGUGGACGCGAUUGGCUGAUUGAUGAUAAUGAUCAGCUCAUAACUUAGUAUAAGCUAAUUUCCUUUCCAGCUUUUUUAGCCUGUAACAAAUUUUUGUUUUAGAAAUAGAUGUAUAAGUUCCUCGAGAUUUCCUAGUCUCUAUAUGCUUUGUAAUGUGAUUUAAGAUGGAAUAGACUAGCUUAGUUCAGUAUGUAAUUUGGACGAUAUUUGUGUGAUUGAAAGAUAUUUUUUAAUGUUCUUCUUUCCAGAACUCAAUUGAUAAUGAUUAAGAGUCUGUCUGUAGUAUAUUUGAUCAUGAAACGUAAGAUAUCUUUCAUCAUUUGUAGUCAGUGAUAGUGUAACAGGUUAUUGGAUGUCGCCUAGGUAGUGUAGCAUAUAAUACUGUCAACAAAAAUUAUUACCUCGGUGUCAAAAUAUAUAUCAGAAAGUAUUUGCAUUUUAUAAAAGAAAAUUCAAACAAAUUAAACUUUAAUGAGUAAAAAGCUUUGUUGAAUAUUUCUCUAGAAAAAUACUGAAAAGUAUCAUUAUGUAAUUAUAAAAAUGUAUAGUUUAUAUUACGUUAUUAUAUUGUGAUUACUGUUAUGGCGAAUUGGUAACCAUAUUUAAAUAAAAAUAUUUAUUAAAAAGUUA
rnacentral:misc_RNA from 1 species